UCCUCUUAUUUAUGAAGUGCAACAGGGAACGACAUUUUGGAUACGAUGAAGGUGGGUGGAGUCCACACGCCCAUAAAUAAGGACGAAAGCAGGUUUAAAGGAACAAAUCCUCUUAUUUAUGGAGAAGUGCAACAGGGAACGACAUUUAGGUUACGAUGAAGGUGGGUGGAGUCCACACGCCCAUAAAUAAGGACGAAAGCAGUUUUAAAGAAACAAAUCCUCUUAUUUAUGGAG